rnacentral:rRNA from 1 species
GGGGUGAAAGGCCAAUCAAACCGGGAGAUAGCUGGUUCUCCCCGAAAGCUAUUUAGGUAGCGCCUCGUGAACUCAUCUUCGGGGGUAGAGCACUGUUUCGGCUAGGGGGCCAUCCCGGCUUACCAACCCGAUGCAAACUACGAAUACCGAAGAAUGUUAUCACGGGAGACACACGGCGGGUGCUAACGUCCGUCGUGAAGAGGGAAACAACCCAGACCGCCAGCUAAGGUCCCAAAGUCAUGGUUAAGUGGGAAACGAUGUGGGAAGGCACAGACAGCCAGGAUGUUGGCUUAGAAGCAGCCAUCAUUUAAAGAAAGCGUAAUAGCUCACUGGUCGAGUCGGCCUGCGCGGAAGAUGUAACGGGGCUAAACCAUGCACCGAAGCUGCGGCAGCGACACUAUGUGUUGUUGGGUAGGGGAGCGUUCUGUAAGCCGUUGAAGGUGUGCUGUGAGGCAUGCUGGAGGUAUCAGAAGUGCGAAUGCUGACAUAAGUAACGAUAAAGCGGGUGAAAAGCCCGCUCGCCGGAAGACCAAGGGUUCCUGUCCAACGUUAAUCGGGGCAGGGUGAGUCGACCCCUAAGGCGAGGCCGAAAGGCGUAGUCGAUGGGAAACAGGUUAAUAUUCCUGUACUUGGUGUUACUGCGAAGGGGGGACGGAGAAGGCUAUGUCAGCCGGGCGACGGUUGUCCCGGUUUAAGCAUGUAGGCGGAGGUUCCAGGUAAAUCCGGUACCUUUUAACGCUGAGGUGUGAUGACGAGGCACUACGGUGCUGAAGUGAUAAAUGCCCUGCUUCCAGGAAAAGCCUCUAAGCAUCAGGUAACACGAAAUCGUACCCCAAACCGACACAGGUGGUCAGGUAGAGAAUACCAAGGCGCUUGAGAGAACUCGGGUGAAGGAACUAGGCAAAAUGGUGCCGUAACUUCGGGAGAAGGCACGCUGAUGUGUAGGUGAAGCCCCUGCGGGCGGAGCUGAAAUCAGUCGAAGAUACCAGCUGGCUGCAACUGUUUAUUAAAAACACAGCACUGUGCAAACACGAAAGUGGACGUAUACGGUGUGACGCCUGCCCGGUGCCGGAAGGUUAAUUGAUGGGGUUAGCUGUAAGGCGAAGCUCUUGAUCGAAGCCCCGGUAAACGGCGGCCGUAACUAUAACGGUCCUAAGGUAGCGAAAUUCCUUGUCGGGUAAGUUCCGACCUGCACGAAUGGCGUAAUGAUGGCCAGGCUGUCUCCACCCGAGACUCAGUGAAAUUGAACUCGCUGUGAAGAUGCAGUGUACCCGCGGCAAGACGGAAAGACCCCGUGAACCUUUACUAUAGCUUGACACUGAACAC